GUGAACUCUAUGACCAAUGGUAACACAUGUUUCAACUUUGCCAAACCAAGUAUGGUUUUACUCAAAUGUAUGUCACCGCCAACUCAAUCCAAACAGAGUUUUUUUUUUGUAAAACUCAUGCUACCUAACCAAUCUAAAACUAGGUUUCUAAAACCUGAUUAAACUAGUUUUUUACUAAUUGAUUUUAUAUUUUACAUAUCCAAACAACCACGUAGUCUCAAAUAAAUGAUGCUUACAUGUGUACGUGCGAUAUCAAAUCUGAAAACAUUGACCAAUAUUAAUGAACUCCCU
rnacentral:lncRNA from 1 species